AGCAGCCGCGGUAAUUCCAGCUCCAAUAGCGUAUAUUAAAGUUGUUGCAGUUAAAAAGUUCGUAGUUGAAUUUCAGGCCUGGCUGGACGGUCCGCCCUUCGGGUGAGUACUGUCUGUGGUCGGGUCCUACCUUCUGGCGAAGCGUCAUGGCCUUAACCGGCCGUGGCGGGGAACCAGGACUUUUACUGUGAAAAAAUUAGAGUGUUCAAAGCAGGCAAUCGCUUGGAUACAUUAGCAUGGAAUAAUGGAAUAGGACAAUGGUUCUAUUUGUUGGUUUCUAAGACCGUUGUAAUGAUUAAUAGGGAUAGUUGGGGGCAUUAGUAUUCAAUUGUCAGAGGUGAAAUUCUUGGAUUUAUUGAAGACUAACUACUGCGAAAGCAUUUGCCAAGGAUGUUUUCAUUAAUCAAGAACGAAAGUUAGGGGAUCGAAGACGAUCAGAUACCGUCGUAGUCUUAACCAUAAACUAUGCCGACUAGGAAUCGGGCGAUGUUGAAAAAUGACGCGCUCGGCGCCGUCAUGG
rnacentral:rRNA from 1 species